rnacentral:rRNA from 1 species
AGUGAACGCUGGCGGUAGGCCUAACACAUGCAAGUCGAACGGCAGCACAGUAAGAGCUUGCUCUUACGGGUGGCGAGUGGCGGACGGGUGAGGAAUACAUCGGAAUCUACUUUUUCGUGGGGGAUAACGUAGGGAAACUUACGCUAAUACCGCAUACGACCUACGGGUGAAAGCAGGGGAUCUUCGGACCUUGCGCGAUUGAAUGAGCCGAUGUCGGAUUAGCUAGUUGGCGGGGUAAAGGCCCACCAAGGCGACGAUCCGUAGCUGGUCUGAGAGGAUGAUCAGCCAAACUGGAACUGAGACACGGUCCAGACUCCUACGGGAGGCAGAAGUGGGGAAUAUUGGAAAAUGGGCGCAAGCCUGAUCCAGCCAUACUGCGUGGGUGAAGAAGGCCUUCGGGUUGUAAAGCCCUUUUGUUGGGAAAGAAAAGCAGCAGGUUAAUACCCCGCUGUUCUGACGGUACCCAAAGAAUAAACACCGGCUAACUUCGU